UGUGGCACUGGAAGGUUUGGCCCGCCCACGUCAACUCGGAUUGGCCCCUGAAUACAAGCAGGCGUGGGCGGCAUAGGGAAACUAUUAUUGCUAUUGGACGGUGAGGUGGAGUGUCUAAGGGCGGAUGAAGCCGAACUGGGUGGCAGGUGGUGAGGGCAGUGCUGCUCCAGCCCAGAUGUAACUUACAGUGUGUUUGAUGGGUCCUGAAGAAGGAAACUUUUUGCUGUAGCCGAACGCUAUUUUAGGCAUUAAAAUAAAUACUGGCAUUAUUAGAGAUUAUCGGAUGUUGCUUCUGCAGGAGAAAACACUUGGAGCUGGAAAAGAUAGAACAUCAUCCAUGCACAAGAUGGCUGCGCUAAUGACUGGAUAGAUCAGACAAAAGUCUCCUGUUUUGUUUACAGCAGUGGCAGCAAUAGACUAUCCAGAUGCAGGUCAGCCACUGACUAACGCACAUUGCGCUGCUCCUAAAAUGCCACUGUGCGUGUGACAGCGGCUAACCAGCAUCUAGGAAUAACUUGGCUUGUGGGCUUUCACUCCGCCAGGGCCCGCAUCUUUGAAGAGGUAACAUUGAUUUCAUCUCUCCACAACGGCAAUCAAACGAGCAAUGGCAUCUAUUUCCAGCAAAUGUCUAUAUGUCCCCUAUUACACUUAGCACUGUCUGCAUCUUACUGUUGUCAGAGUGGGCCCUCAUGGUCUGGUUCUCUGACAGGCCCUAAGAGGCCCAAUCUGAAAAAAUAAAGUAUUAUUUAUAUACUGUACAUACAGUAGAUCAUUUUAAGCUGUUUCAAAUUCUUUAUUUCAAAAAGUUUUUAUUUCUUUAUUUGUCUUCUCUGCAGGGCAAAUAGUAGGUAGUGGUGCUGUUGUGCUGCAGUCAUAGCAAAGUGUUUGCUGCCCAUGACAAAAUGACAGAUGCUGUUUUUUAGCUGCAAUAAAGUUUGAAUAGCAUAUGUCCAUGAAA